UUCAAUUCGUUCGAAAUAUUGCAUGCAAUUGACUAAGUCUUGUGUUCAUAUUACAAGUGGAUCAAUAAUUUUAUUAAAAUAUUGACACAAAAGUAGAAGGAUCCACUAUAUAAACUCUUAGACCAUUUCACCCAUUUCCUCACAACUCACAAGUACAUUUUCUAAUUUGCAAGAGCAAAAUAAUCAAACUAAGCAAAAAGAAAACCAAAAUGGCCAAGGCUACUAACUUCAACCUUUUUGCCUUAUGUCUCCUAUUCAUCGUUAUUGCUAACGCUGGAAUCCAAAUGACUGAAGCACAGAGCUGUGGAUGGGCAAAUACUCGUGAUUGUUGUUACAGGUGCGGCCACAAAUGCUUGAACUACUGGGGAGGGUCUCGCCCUACCACUGGAGAUCACUGGCAAUGCAGAAAUGGAAACUGCUGGUGUUACUAUGGCCAGUGCUAAGCAUAAUACACUGAUAUGCAUGCAAAUCCCCUUUACAAAAUGACGACUAAUAAUAUAAUGUUAAUGUAUGUGUUAUUAUAGUAUAUAAGUAUGUAUAAUAAAAAGAAUGUAAUAAACCUAUAUGGUAAAACUACUCUUGCUGCUUAUUGUUAUGUUAUGUAUGAUAAUACUAAUAAGGUUAUAAUUAAAGACGUAUGUGUGAAUCAAUAAAACUUGGUCUUUGUUGUGUCAUGGUA